CUUUUAUGCUGCCCGCUUGAAACCACCACCUCCGUUUUUAUCAUUAGUCUUAUUGCCUUCAUUUUCUUAAGCGCCAUCUUAUCAUCACCUCUGAUUUGCAGGUUUCCUGGAUGAACUACAUUUCCCAUAAUGCAUGUUUGCCCGGGACAUUGACGGUGGAGGAAGGUCCAUGAGUUUUCGCUGUUCGCCGGUAAUGCAAGUGCGUACUGCUCAAGUGUGUGGUUGUGAGAUCAUCUCGAAAUCCUUUUAACAGUUCAGGUAGGAUGUAUUAUGAAAUAGUGUUACUAAUGUAAUACAUUGCUAAAACCAAG